AAGAGCCGUAUGCGGGAAAACCGCACGUACGGUUCUGUGAGGGGUACGGGGAAGCGAUUCCUCUAUCUACUCGAC
rnacentral:ncRNA from 1 species